AAUGGCUCGAGGAGGAAGAAAGCCUGAGGAACUGAUGCUCAGGGACUUUGGGGAAGCAAUUCUGUGCGACUCCUCGAUCCCACAUAAGACCAGCCAACCAGUAGUGCUCACAGCUGGGGGUGUGCUGCUUAUUGCAGGUUUGCAGUGGCUUUUUGCUGGUUAGCUGAUAGUCAGUCUUUUACAGGCCUGCUGGGUGCUCCAGUGGCAGAGAGAAGGUUGCUACUGUUGGGCAGGAGACAUAUACCACUUAAAACUUCCCUGGAAGGCACACCUGUGAACAUGGGAGAUAAACUCAGUAAGGAGCCCUUCAGUGUGGUUUACAAAAAGCCAGUCGCCAAGAAGGUGGAUCAAGUUCCAGAGACUGCUUCAACACACCGUUACAAGCCUGAGGACUUCCAGGGUACAGCCAAAGAGCCAGCUAAGGGAACUUGUAAGGAUUUUCAGGCUUCUGCAGAUGCAAGAAAAAGACUGUAAAUGCGAUCAAGAGCAUGUGCUGUAAAAAUUGUUCUGUCGGCCUGAGACAUGCAGGCAGUAUUUGUGCUCUGUUUCCAUUACAGGCCAUAUAGGCGGGGAAGGCUGGGGCUUGUUUUAACUGCUUCCCAUUCCUGCAGACUGAAGAUGGGGAUUAUAUCAUACAGUCUCUCAGCAUGCUUGUUUAACAUCCUUUCUGAUUUUUGAAGGGGGGGCUUUACAGCAACUGAAAUCUUUGGUAUCUAACAGGUUGAUUUUUUUUUUUUUUUCCUUAGAAGUAUGUUGUCCUUCUGUACAGAGAAGAAUGAAUACUUAAUGGACAAUAGCUGGUGUUCAUGUCUUUGGUAAUGGCCUUGCUGAUGUAUUUUGGCUGUACUGAAUGAUCUAUAGUGGCUAGAGAUGCCUCUUCCUGGUAGAUGUGCAUCUUAACUGGACUGGCUCGGGCCAGUCUAUGUAUUUACAAGAGUAACUCUACCUUCUGGGAAAUUUUAUCAGUGUUAGAAGCUGUCUGUUACAAUCUGAAGACAUGACUGAGUUUAAAAUGAAUACUUUCUGUGCAAUAUUUCAAAGCAUCGGUGAAGUUCCUUAAUGUGUCAAGACCUGUACUACUGAGACUUGGCUGAAGACACUUAGAUGAUUCUGAAGGUCUUGCAACUUUAAUGUAAAUGAAGUUGUUUGAAAGCUAUGGAUAGACUCAGUAUAAUGAAGACAAAUGUGGGACCUAAAGAAACCUGAGCUCUGUAGUGGGCAUUCUGUAACUUGAGUGUUCUGCACCUGUCUGUCAUCCAAUUAGUACCAAAGUAAUUUUUUUCUGUAAUGCUUUAACUAGACUUCAGGGGCCUCAUUGUGCUGGGGAAAACACCAGGCUAACAGCUGAGGCAAUGUAGCUCUCCUGCAGUUACUGUGGUUAGAGUUUGUAGUGACUGAACAACAAAGUCCUUGGCCCGAGCUGUAAUAAGGUGAAAAGAGGCCUUGCUUUCUAAUUGAGGUUGUCACACUGAUGUUUUGAAAUUCUCCCUUGAAAAGGAAACCGAGACGUAUGCAACAUGAUUCUUCAAAGCAUUUCUAAAUGUGUGCUCUCCUCUGAAGUUUCACUUGGGUUGAAAGCAGCUUCAUUAUUUUUUAAUCUUUUACUUACCAUGCUGUUGUCUCAAGCUGUUUGAUCUUUUUGCUAACCCUGUUUCUGCUCAGUCCAGUACUUAUUUAGGUGAGGGAUGUGCUUUAAGGUCCCUGGAACAAAAGCCUCUUCCACCCAUGUCAUUGCUCUAAAUAGUUUGGUCCCUUCUGCUGCUUUUUCUUCUAAUCUAGGCUUCACAGCAUCUGGUGCUCAAGGUAUCUGAGUUAAAGCCACAUUCAGCUCCUUCUCAGGCCUGUAUGGAAUGUUCCUCUUCCAGUGCCUAUUGCCAGAAUGAGGAAUAUGGAUGGCAUGACCGGGGCAGUACUCCAGACAGUGUGCCUUAUUAGUUCCUGGAUCAGUCUCAAGUGAGCUAGCUUGGCUUACCUGUGUGGGAAACAUCUGGAGACACUUCCUCAUUAAAGAGGAGUGAGAACAGGGUUGAUGUGAGCUACACUGAUAUAAAAUGUAGAAUCUUGUUCCCUAUUAGGGUGUGAAUAGAGAGCUCAAGUGCUAAGUUCAUGCUGGGCAGACAGGACAAGACUGGGCCUAGGUUAGCAGUGGGCCUUGAAUUGCAGUUAAAGAAAUAGCUUCAUUUAUUUGGAAGGUUCUGGAAUAUUGGUUAUGACACUACAUUCAGUACACGUGUACCAAAGGUGUGGGAACUGGGAGCUGAUAACUCUGAUGCACUGCCUUCACUAUGCCCACAGCAGGGGGUUCUGCUGCAGCUCACUGGUGGGUGACCAGGUGUGGGAUACCAAACUGGUCUGCAGCUGUAACGUGCUGGGGGAGCAGACCUGCUACAGGUGGCAGUAGACUUGAAUUUUGACAGGCUUUGUCAGAAGUUGAAGAGGCCAAGUUCUGCUCAGCCAGUAACCUGGGCCACGUGCCUCCUUGUCCCCUAGCUGGCCAAAGGGUUCAACUGGAUUUUUGCAGCUGUCUCAGCAGUGAGGGGCUGGGAAGGCUCUGACACAUGCAUCCCCUUGAAGUUGGUCUGCCAAGUCAAUUCAACUUUUGCAAGGAAAGUGUAACAGUCUGUAUCAGACAGUACGUGUGCACACUUUUCCAACGCUGUAAACGCAAAAAAUCCACAAAGGCUAAGGAAAGAAAAUGAGACUUCUUGUUUAUAGUCUUUCCUUUGACUGUUCUAAUGUACUUUGUCAAGAGUCUUAAACCAAUGUUACUUAAAAUGUUACAAGCAUACAAAUCUAAAACCAUUUUAAAAUGGCAUUAAAUAACACCUUGCAUGUGAUACAAUAGAGAACGGUGCGAGGAGGAACUGACUUAAUGGAACUAAUGUUCAGGGACACAAGGAGAAGUGGAGCGUGGGGCAUGGGGUUUGUACCUUGUCUUGAUGUGUGCUGAAAUACUGAACAAUGUAAUACUUAACUGCUUUGUGUUUAACUGUUAACAGAUGACAUGGUGGAGUUGCUCUUUUUGAUAGGUAUGGUCUAUGUUCCUGUGCCACUUGCUCGUAAAACAAUGAAGGGGGAAUGUAAUGCCUCGUGAUACAUUGCUGUAAUUAAGCACCUGUCAAAAUAAGUUGUCAAAGCAUGUUAAAGCAAUUUUGAUGUAUUAUUAUUGGUGAGCUCUUGUGCUCUUAUUUACCCUGCAAGGGGGAAGUCCAUGCUUUAUUUCAAAAGUACUUAUGCUACCCAGUCUUGUGUAACAGCCCAUUAACUUGUAGAAGUACAUAAUCUUUCACAUUAAAUCAGGGAUCUCAAUACUAUGGUUUUAAGUCUCUAGACACAAAUGUAAGGCAUUCUGUGACCAUUGGAAUGCUUUGCAUAACCCAUGGGGAAUCUGCAUACAAUUUCCUUUGUAAUUCUACGAAAUGGAUGACUUACUUAUUUAAGCCUGAUGUAUUUAACACCAUUCUUCCAUCUCCAGAUCAGUGUCUUGAGUGAAACAAUAUAAAUUUUGACCAGUUUUUCUGCCUUUUCCCCUUCCCCACAGGAACCAGUCAAUUUCUGCCUUUUCAGGUGUGUGGAUGUUAAUGAAAUUUUCUUCAUCUGUGGAUGAAAAUAUUCUUGAUUUCUUCAGAAGCUACUUUACGUCAGUUAAGAACCUGUCUCCUAUGUUAGUGCACUUAAAAACUUUGUAUAAUUUAAUCACCAUCUAGGUAUGUUGCUGCUGCAGUGCUGAAAGCAUUGGGAACAAAUAUCAUAUAAGGAAGAUUUUUGUCUUCCAAGAAAUCUGAUAUUUUGUGUAGAAAAAUAAAUAAAAAUAAAAAAUAUAAAUAAACUGUAUUAAUCACUGCACUAAGCUGUCUCCUAUGUGAAUGAGACUACUUUUAAAAUCAAAGUGAAGAUAAACUGAUAGGCUGAGGAGAACACAAGUCCAGGAUGCUUCAGGGAGCAAAGAAAUGUGAAAAGGAGCACUGGGACCACCCCUACCUGAGGAAGAGCAUGAGCAGGCUGUGCUGUGAGACUGAAGAUAGCACUCAGAAGCAGUCCAGUGUGAUCAGAGUGAGCCUUAAACCUUGUCCUUUCUAUAGGAACACAAAGCCUGGCACACUU